rnacentral:rRNA from 1 species
AUUGAACGCUGGCGGCAGGCCUAACACAUGCAAGUCGAACGAGUGGCGGACGGGUGAGUAAUGUCUGGGAAACUGCCUGAUGGAGGGGGAUAACUACUGGAAACGGUAGCUAAUACCGCAUACCAUCGAAUGUGCCCAGAUGGGAUUAGCUAGUAGGUGGGGUAACGGCUAACCUAGGCGGCGAUCCCUAGCUGGUCUGAUAGGAUGACCAACAACUCUGGAAAUGAGACACGGACCAGACUCCUACGGGAGGCAGCAGUGGGGAAUAUUGGACAAUGGGCGCAAGCCUGUUGCAGCCAUGCCGGGGGUAUGAAGAAGGCCUUCGGGUUGUAAAGUACUUUCAGCGGGGAGGCGGUACCCGCAGAAGAAGCACCGGCUAACUCCGUGCCAGCCGCCGCGGUAAUUC